UACGUAGGGUGCGAGCGUUAAUCGGAAUUACUGGGCGUAAAGUGUGCGCAGGCGGCGUUGCAAGUCGAGUGUGAAAUCCCCGAGCUUAACUUGGGAAUUGCGCUCGAAACUACGAUGCUCGAGUGUGGCAGAGGAAGGUGGAAUUCCACGUGUAGCGGUGAAAUGCGUAGAGAUGUGGAGGAGCACCGAUGGCGAAGGCAGCCUUCUGGGCCAACACUGACGCUCAUGCACGAAAGCGUGGGGAGCGAACAGG
rnacentral:rRNA from 1 species